CACAAGCGGUGGAGCAUGUGGUUUAAUUCGAUGCAACGCGAAGAACCUUACCUGGGCUUGACAUCCCGGGAAUCCCUUGGAAACAAGGAGUGCCUUCGGGGAACCUGGAGACAGGUGCUGCAUGGCUGUCGUCAGCUCGUGUCGUGAGAUGUAGGGUUAAGUCCCGCAACGAGCGCAACCCUUGUCUUUAAUUGCCAUCAUUGAGUUGGGCACUUUAAAGAGACUGCCGGUGUUAAACCGGAGGAAGGUGGGAUGACGUCAAGUCCUCAUGGCCUUUAUGCCCAGGGCUACACACGUGCUACAAUGGGUGGUACAAAGAGCAGCCAGCUCGCGAGAGUGAGCAAAUCUCAAAAAGCCAUCCUCGGUUCGGAUUGAAGUCUGCAACUCGACUUCAUGAAGUUGGAAUCGCUAGUAAUCGCGGAUCAGCACGCCGCGGUGAAUACGUUCCCGGGCCUU
rnacentral:rRNA from 1 species